rnacentral:rRNA from 1 species
AUUGAACGCUGGCGGCAGGCCUAACACAUGCAAGUCGAACGGAGUGGCGGACGGGUGAGUAAUGCCUAGGACUCUCCCUGGUCGUGGGGGAUAACGUCCGGAAACGGGCGCUCAUCCCGCCUACUCUCAGAUGACCCUAGGUCGGAUUAGCUAGUGGGUGGGGUAAAGGCCUACCAAGGCGCCGCUCCGUAACUGGUCUGAGAGGAUGAUAAGUCACACUGGAACUGAGACACGGUCCAGACUCCUACGGGAGGCAGCAGUGGGGAAUAUUGGACAAUGGGCGAAAGCCUGAUCCAGCCAUGCCGCGUGUGUGAAGAAGGUCUUCGGAUUGUAAAGCACUUUAAGUUGGGAGGCGUUACCAACAGAAUAAGCACCGGCUAACUUCGUGCCAGCAGCCGCGGUAAUAC